UACGGGGGGGGCAAGCGUUGUUCGGAAUUACUGGGCGUAAAGGGCUCGUAGGCGGCCAACUAAGUCGGACGUGAAAUCCCUCGGCUUAACCGGGAACUGCGUCCGAUACUGGAUGGCUUGAGUUCGGGAGAGGGAUGCGGAAUUCCAGGUGUAGCGGUGAAAUGCGUAGAUAUCUGGAGGAACACCGGUGGCGAAGGCGGCAUCCUGGACCGUGA
rnacentral:rRNA from 1 species